AACGAACGCUGGCGGCAUGCCUAACACAUGCAAGUCGAACGAGACCUUCGGGUCUAGUGGCGCACGGGUGCGUAACGCGGGGGAACCUGCCCUUAGGUUCGGAAUAACUCCCCGAAAGGGGUGCUAAUACCGGAUAAUGUCUUCGGACCAAAGAUUUAUCGCCUUUGGAUGGGCCCGCGUUGGAUUAGCUAGUUGGUAGGGUAAAAGCCUACCAAGGCGACGAUCCAUAGCUGGUCUGAGAGGAUGAUCAGCCACACUGGGACUGAGACACGGCCCAGACUCCUACGGGAGGCAGCAGUGGGGAGUAUUGGACGAUGGGCGAAAGCCUGAUCCAGCAAUGCCGCGUGAGUGAUGAAGGGCUUAGGGUUGUAAAGCUCUUUUACCCGGGAUGAUAAUGACAGUACCGGGAGAAUAAGCUCCGGCUAACUCCGUG
rnacentral:rRNA from 1 species